rnacentral:rRNA from 1 species
UACGAAGGGGGCUAGCGUUGCUCGGAAUCACUGGGCGUAAAGCGCACGUAGGCGGCUUAUUAAGUCAGGGGUGAAAUCCUGGAGCUCAACUCCAGAACUGCCUUUGAUACUGAUGAGCUUGAGUCCGGGAGAGGUGAGUGGAACUGCGAGUGUAGAGGUGAAAUUCGUAGAUAUUCGGAAGAACACCAGUGGCGAAGGCGGCUCACUGGUCCGGUACUGACGCUGAGGUGCGAAAGCGUGGGGAGCAAACAGG